AAGUCGUAACAAGGUUUCCGUAGGUGAACCUGCGGAAGGAUCAUUACAAAUAUGCGCUUGAUUGCGUCUACACAGUGUUUUUAACGAAACUUACUUUGGCGGGGAAACACGCCGAAGAAUACUCAACAAACUUUUAUAAAUUAUCAAAACAAAUUAAUAUUAAAACUUUCAACAACGGAUCUCUUGGUUCUC
rnacentral:misc_RNA from 1 species